rnacentral:rRNA from 1 species
UGGGGAAUAUUGCACAAUGGGGGAAACCCUGAUGCAGCGACGCCGCGUGAACGAAGAAGGUAUUCGUAUCGUAAAGUUCUGUCCUAUGGGAAGAUAAUGACAGUACCAUAGAAGAAAGCUCCGGCUAAAUACGUGCCAGCAGCCGCGGUCAUACGUAUGGAGCGAGCGUUGUCCGGAAUUAUUGGGCGUAAAGGGUACGCAGGCGGUUUAAUAAGUCGAAUGUUAAAGAUCGGGGCUCAACCCCGCAAAGCAUUGGAAACUGAUAAACUUGAGUAGUGGAGAGGAAAGUGGAAUUCCUAGUGUAGUGGUGAAAUACGUAGAUAUUAGGAGGAAUACCAGUAGCGAAGGCGACUUUCUGGACACAAACUGACGCUGAGGUACGAAAGCGUGGGGAGCAAACAGG